CAGUAGCCACGGUAAUACGAAGGGGGCUAGCGUUGUUCGGAAUUACUGGGCGUAAAGCGCACGUAGGCGGACAUUUAAGUCAGGUGUGAAAUCCCGGGGCUCAACCCCGGAACUGCCUUUGAUACUGGGUGUCUAGAGUAUGGAAGAGGUGAGUGGAAUUCCGAGUGUAGAGGUGAAAUUCGUAGAUAUUCGGAGGAACACCAGUGGCGAAGGCGGCUCACUGGUCCAUUACUGACGCUGAGGUGCGAAAGCGUGGGGAGCAAACAGGAUUAGAUACCCCAGUAGUCCCUGUCUCUUAUAC
rnacentral:rRNA from 1 species